rnacentral:rRNA from 1 species
CAGUUCGGAUUGCAGGCUGCAACUCGCCUGCAUGAAGCUGGAAUUGCUAGUAAUCGCGGAUCAGCAAGCCGCGGUGAAUACGUUCCCGGGCCUUGUACACACCGCCCGUCACACCAUGAGAGUCGGGAACACCCGAAGUCCGUAGUCUAACCGCAAGGGGGCGCGGCGAAGGUGGGUCCGGUAAUUGGGUGAAGUCGUAACAAGGUAAC